AACUUAAGCGCCGGUAAACGGCGGUGGUAACUAUAACCAUCCUAAGGUAGCGAAAUUCCUUGUCGGGUAAGUUCCGACCUGCACGAAUGGCGUAACGACUUCCCCGCUGUCUCAACCACAGGCCCGGCGAAAUUGCACUACGAGUGAAGAUGCUCGUUUCGCGCAGCAGGACGGAAAGACCCCGGGACCUUCACUACAGCUUGACAUUGGCGUCUGGAAUGGCUUGUGUAGGAUAGGUGGGAGACUGUGAAGCCUCGACGCUAGUUGGGGUGGAGUCGCCGGUGAAAUACCACUCUGGCUGUUUCGGGCGUCUAACCCACGCCCCUGAAUCGGGGUGGGGGACAGUGUCUGGCGGGUAGUUUAACUGGGGCGGUUGCCUCCUAAAAGGUAACGGAGGCGCCCAAAGGUCCCCUCAGCCUGGUUGGCAAUCAGGUGGUGAGUGUAAGUGCACAAGGGGGCUUGACUGCGAGACCGACGGGUCGAGCAGGAGCGAAAGCUGGGACUAGUGAUCCGGCACUUCCGUGUGGUUGGGGUGUCGCUCAACGGCUAAAAGGUACCCCGGGGAUAACAGGCUGAUCUUCCCCAAGAGUCCAUAUCGACGGGAUGGUUUGGCACCUCGAUGUCGGCUCGUCGCAUCCUGGGGCUGGAGUCGGUCCCAAGGGUUGGGCUGUUCGCCCAUUAAAGCGGUACGCGAGCUGGGUUUAGAACGUCGCGAGACAGUUCGGUCCCUAUCCGCUGCGCGCGUAGGAGACUUGAGGGGGGCUGUCCCUAGUACGAGAGGACCGGGACGGACGAACCUCUGGUGUGCCAGUUGUGCCGCCAGGUGCAUGGCUGGUUGGCCACGUUCGGUGUGGAUAACCGCUGAAGGCAUCUAAGCGGGAAGCCAACCCCAAGACAAGGUCUCCCACCCCUGCGCAAGCAGGGGGUAAGGUCCCCGCGAGACUAGCGGGUUGAUAGGCCGGUGGUGGAAGCUCGGUAACGGGUGGAGCCGACCGGUACUAAUAGACCGAGGACUUGGCCGCACA
rnacentral:rRNA from 2 species